AAAAACCUGUUCUAAUCUGAUCACCAAAGUUAAGCAAAAUUGAGCCUGUUCAGUACUUAGAUGGGUGACCACUUGGAGAAUAGCAGAUGCUGUAAG